AUCGCUUCUCAGCCUUUUGGCUAAGAUCAAGUGUAGUAAUCAUUUCAUGUGACAAAAAUGUUUUCCUUUCUGGUCACACUUAAGUUCUUGGAGUUGUUUUUCAUAGUAAUAGCAGAUUUCUUAUUCUGUCCAUAUUUUAUGAUCUCUU
rnacentral:snRNA from 1 species